UUUAAAAAGCGCCAGAACUAAACUAGGAGUAAGUUUAGUUGACGAGGUGGAGGUUUAUCGAGUCUUCGGCGGGUACCUCCCAGUUGAAGUGCACAGCUGUAUAUUUCUUCUCCAAAACAGUGGGGCAACUCACUCGACAAAGAGUAGAAAAUG
rnacentral:ncRNA from 1 species